CUGAUAAAUGGUAAUCAGGUUGUCCCUCCAUUUUAUUAAGUGCAGGUCUAUACAGGCAAGCAGAGACAAAGCGCUGCUCAUUUUGUGUGCUGCAAGCCAGUGUGACGCAGGGCUGUUCUAGAACAAUAAAAAACAUUGCUGUUAGUGUGACCUUGCAUCUGUGCUCAGGAACAGCGUGCUCCGGACUUGAGUGCUUUCCUACAUCGCUGUGAUACAAUGGGAAGAAUUGCUCGUUUCUUCUGCUGUUUUCUCUCUCCUCCUUUCACUUACAGAUCCUUGCUCGGUUUAUUUGCUGCUAUGGUGCAUGGCCCUGGCAUAGCAGCAGGGUAACUCUAUCCCCCUGUUCUCAACUAGAGACCCGCAGAGCAAUGAGAUGCAGUAUUUGUCUCAACCACGGCCAAAGACCUGUCCCUACCUGCAGGCUGUCACUCUGCUUUCACAUCAUGGUCUAGUGGCUUGGCUGCAAGCUUUCUCUUCCUUUCCACAACAUUUUCCUCUCUUGUGCUAUUAACCAGACCUCCGGCCUAUAAAUUGGUUUUCCUAAUCUCCUUACACAUGCUCAGAAUCCUAUGGAAGCCAAAAUGUAGUCUAAUGGUUUUAACCACAUGCAUAAUCGGUAGGAUCAGAAUGUACUGGUUUUAAGCUAAGCCUUCUGUAUCAGCCAUUCGGGUUCCCAUUAUCUCUUGUCUGAUUUUCUUUCUAGAACCCACAUCAUACCAAACUGACCAGAAAGUAACAUCGUUCAGUGGACUUUUCUGUUUUGUGUACAAUUCUCUUGAAUACAGUCUCUUCCAAGACUCUUGCAGAGCCACACUGAGAAGUGCUGCUCUCCUCCUUCUGAAGCAUCUGAGAAAUUCACAUUCACUGCUGCUCUGUUUAGCACGCCGUGUGUGGUCAUUAUCCAAGCAAUGCUGUUUCUACCUUUGCUGUGACGGAUGCACUUAGGGGACAGCUGAGAUAAUGUCAGGAGUGUUUGGAGCACCCAGGACAUGAGGUGCCUGGGGCUUUGCUGACCGCUGCCUUUGGUGUGAAGCCAGGUCCCCUGGCACUGCCUGCACAGCCGGUCUUUCAGGUGCCCCAUGCAGCAGGGUGAGCAGAAGGAUCCUCUUAAUGAGCACACUGCAGUGAACACUUGGUUCCUAAUCCACAGGAUUGCGACAACAAAAAGAAGUAAUGCUUGCAGAAAUGGUACAGUGCAGAAGAAAAGGGGUGGCACAGCUGUUGGAACUGUCUGGUGGCUGCAGAGAGGAAUUCCAUCUCUGGAGCUGGCAAUCUGGAAGGCUGAAUUCCCCCACAUAAGGAAUCUGCUCCAGUAAGGCACAUCCCAACCGUGGAUGCAGUUUAUUUCAAUCUCCACUAAAUCUUAUGCAAAUGAAUAAA